UAUAUUUCUAUACUGAUGAAGCUGUGAUAUAAAAAAUAGGUUACGUACAGUAUGUUUUGAAACCCUCCUGUCAUUCUCUCUGAUUGUGUAGUUAUACUGAUAUCUCUGAUUGUGUAGUGAUACUGAUAGAUAAAAAAUAGGUUAUGUACAGUACGUUUUCAAACCCUCCUGUUAUUCUCUCUGUUAUUCUGAUUGUGUACUGAUAUUGUUAUGUAAAUGAAGAUUAUUCUCUAUUUGGUUAUAUUCUUAAUGUAUACUGUAUCUCAUAUGAAGGUUACUUAUAUUUUUGAAAAUAAGUGUUCUGCAACAUGAAAAAGGUUUUCUUCAAAUAUAUAUUUUCUUAUAUUUAAUUUAUUAUAUUUUCCAUGAUUUUACGAAUUAUAUAUAUGUGUAUUUUAUGCAUCGGUAAUAUGUGUGGAUGUGUUAAAAAUGUGUUACCAAUGAUAUUUGUGUUUGGCAAGUGUUUUUAAUAUUUAUUUACCAUGUUAUUAAUUACUAUAUAUUUUGAUUUGGAAACAAAUAAAUUAUUUUAGCUACUUUUUUUCAUAUAAUUGAUUUUGUGUACAUUAAAAUAUUUUUAUAAAAGAUGUUUUCUGGAAACAAAAAAAAAAAAAGAGAUUUUGUUUAGUUCUUAAUUAUUUAUUAAAUAAUGUUUUUACUCCUGUUCCUUGGAUAUCAGGUUUGGUCAGUGUAUCAGUGUUGGCCAGUUGGGCAAGGUUAUAUUAUAUUUAAUAUAUGUUAGUCCUAAACCUUACUGGUGUACUGUUAGAAAUCAUAGGGUUAAAAAGAUUGUAUUCUUAUUGUCUAGUAGACUGAUAAUCCUUUAUUUUAUGAUUAAAAAUCUGUGUAGGGCUCAGUGCUGCGAGUUAGAAGUGAUUGUUUUGCUAAGGUUAAUGUUAUUGGCAAGGCUUUGGAGUUGGAUUUGAUUGGAGUGGGCUAGAGUCUAAUAAUAGUGAUCAUAUUUUAUUUUCAGUUAUUUUAGGAGCUGCGUCUCCAUGAAGGAUAUUAGUUUAUGUUUCAGAAUUGAGAUUUUUGAGAGAUUGAUUUAUGAUAUUAUGUGACUUUCUUUA